AUCCCAUGAUGAGGACAGGCGUGAAUGUACUCCUAGAGAUGUUCCUAUGCUUUGAGAAUCGUCUCAUCAGCUUCUUGUUGGAAGCUAGAGAUCUUUCCACGAAGGGC
rnacentral:snoRNA from 1 species